rnacentral:rRNA from 1 species
UACGUAGGCAGCGAGCGUUGUUCGGAGUUACUGGGCGUAAAGGGUGUGUAGGCGGUUGUUUAAGUUUGGUGUGAAAUCUCCCGGCUCAACUGGGAGGGUGCGCCGAAUACUGAAUGACUUGGAGUGCGGGAGAGGAAAGUGGAAUUCCCGGAGUAGUGGUGAAAUGCGCAGAUAUCAGGAGGAACACCGAUGGCGAAGGCAGCUCGCUGGGACGGUAUUGACGCUGAGACGCGAAAGCGUGGGGAGCAAACAGG